rnacentral:rRNA from 1 species
UGUUGUCGAUCCAUCUGUAGGUGGGUUUU